rnacentral:rRNA from 1 species
GAUGAACGCUGGCGGCGUGCCUUAUACAUGCAAGUCGAGUGGGUUUAGACCCACGGCAAACGGGUGAGUAACACGUAGGUACUUUCCUUGUCACAGGAAUAACCCUCCGAAAGGAGGGCUAAUACCUGAUGUGAUCGCAAGAUUAAAGGGUAUCCGCAAGGAUUACCGGACAAGAAGAGGCCUGCGGCCUAUCAGCUAGUUGGCGGGGUAAAUGCCCACCAAGGCUAUGACGGGUAGCUGGUCUUAUGAGGAUGAUCAGUCACAUGGGCACUGAGACACGGGCCCAACCCCUACGGGAGGCAGCAGGAGGGAAUUUUGCGCAAUGGGCGAAAGCCUGACGCAGCGACGCCGCGUGGGGGAUGAAGGCCUUCGGGUCGUAAACCGCUUUUAAAAGGGACGAACUUUGACGGUACCUUAGGAAUAAGGGGUUGCUAACUCUGU